GAUGAACGCUAGCUACAGGCUUAACACAUGCAAGUCGAGGGGAAACGACAUCGAAAGCUUGCUUUUGAUGGGCGUCGACCGGCGCACGGGUGAGUAACGCGUAUCCAACCUGCCCAUCACUUGGGGAUAACCUUGCGAAAGUAAGACUAAUACCCAAUGAUAUCUCUAGAAGACAUCUGAAAGAGAUUAAAGAUUUAUCGGUGAUGGAUGGGGGUGCGUCUGAUUAGCUUGUUGGCGGGGUAACGGCCCACCAAGGCAACGAUCAGUAGGGGUUCUGAGAGGAAGGUCCCCCACAUUGGAACUGAGACACGGUCCAAACUCCUACGGGAGGCAGCAGUGAGGAAUAUUGGUCAAUGGGCGAGAGCCUGAACCAGCCAAGUAGCGUGCAGGAAGACGGCCCUAUGGGUUGUAAACUGCUUUUAUAAGGAAAUAAAGUGAGAGUCGUGACUCUUUUUGUAUGUACCUUAUGAAUAAGGACCGGCUAAUUCCGUG
rnacentral:rRNA from 1 species